rnacentral:lncRNA from 15 species
AUUUUGGGGGCUGUUUUGCUGGACUUCCUGUUGAUGCCUACCUGUCCAGGAAGUAACAGGUUUCCAGGAAGUGAAAGUGCUCAUUUCUUGGAGUCUUUAAACUUCUUUCAUUCAAAAAGUCUUACUUUGGGGCGGCGUGCACAUGUCUCCAAACAUCACAGGUGGAGUUUGCUCAUUUGUCAUCUUGUGACCUAA